rnacentral:rRNA from 1 species
CGAAGUCACUGAUACCACGCUUCCAGGAAAAGCUCCUAAGCUUCAGCUUACGCAGACCGUACCGUAAACCGACACAGGUGGGUAGGAUGAGAAUUCUCAGGCGCUUGAGAGAACUCGGGUGAAGGAACUAGGCAACAUGGCACCGUAACUUCGGGAGAAGGUGCACCCUUUUUGGUGGCUCAUGCGAGCUAUAGCUGAAGAGGGUCGCAGUAACCAGGCCGCUGCGACUGUUUAUCAAAAACACAGCACUCUGCAAACACGAAAGUGGACGUAUAGGGUGUGACGCCUGCCCGGUGCUGGAAGGUUAAUUGAUGGGGUCAGCCGCAAGGCGAAGCUCUUGAUCGAAGCCCCAGUAAACGGCGGCCGUAACUAUAACGGUCCUAAGGUAGCGAAAUUCCUUGUCGGGUAAGUUCCGACCUGCACGAAUGGCGUAACGACAGCGGCGCUGUCUCCACCCGAGACUCAGUGAAAUUGAAAUCGCUGUGAAGAUGCAGCGUUCCCGUGGCAAGACGGAAAGACCCCGUGAACCUUUACUAUAGCUUUACACUGAACGUUGAGUUCGUCUGUGUAGGAUAGGUGGGAGGCUAUGAAACCAUGGCGCUAGCUGUGGUGGAGCCAUCCUUGAAAUACCACCCUGUCGUGCUUGACGUUCUAACCUGGGCCCAUUAUCUGGGUCGGGGACCGUGUAUGGUGGGUAGUUUGACUGGGGCGGUCUCCUCCUAAAGAGUAACGGAGGAGCUCGAAGGUACGCUCAGCGCGGUCGGACAUCGCGCACUGUGUGCAAAGGCAUAAGCGUGCUUGACUGCAAGAUCGACGGAUCAAGCAGGUAGGAAACUAGGACUUAGUGAUCCGGUGGUUCUGUAUGGAAGGGCCAUCGCUCAACGGAUAAAAGGUACUCCGGGGAUAACAGGCUGAUACCGCCCAAGAGUUCAUAUCGACGGCGGUGUUUGGCACCUCGAUGUCGGCUCAUCACAUCCUGGGGCUGUAGUCGGUCCCAAGGGUAUGGCUGUUCGCCAUUUAAAGUGGUACGCGAGCUGGGUUCAGAACGUCGUGAGACAGUUCGGUCCCUAUCUGCCAUGGGCGUUGGAGAUUUGAGAGGGGCUGCUCCUAGUACGAGAGGACCGGAGUGGACGAACCUCUGGUGUUCCGGUUGUCACGCCAGUGGCAUUGCCGGGUAGCUAUGUUCGGAAGCGAUAACCGCUGAAAGCAUCUAAGCGGGAAGCGCGCCUCAAGAUGAGAUCUCCCGGGGCACAAGCCCCCUGAAGGAACCAUGUAGACUACGUGGUUGAUAGGUCAGGUGUGUAAGUACAGCAAUGUAUUGAGCUAACUGAUACUAAUGAUCCGUGCGGCUUGACCAUAUAACCUCA